AAUAGGCUUGGUCCUGGCCUUUCUAUUGGCUUUUAGCAAGAUUACACAUGCAAGCAUCCCCGCUCCAGUGAAGACGCCCUACAAACCAUUAUGACCAAGAGGAGCAAGCAUCAAGCACGCACNACGCAGCUCAAAACGCUUUGCCUAGCCACACCCCCACGGGAGACAGCAGUGACAAGUAUUUAGCAAUGAACGAAAGUUUAACUAAGCCAUGUUAUAUUUAGGGUUGGUCAAUCUCGUGCCAGCCACCGCGGUCACACGAUUGACCCUAGCUAAUAGAGAUCGGCGUAGAGGGUGUUUAAGAUNNNNCUGACACAAUAAAGCUGAACUCCAUCUAAACUGUAAAACCCUAGCCAAUGUAAAAUAAACUACGAAAGUGGCUUUNAAAGCUUCUGAACACACAAUAGCCAGGACCCAAACUGGGAUUAGACACCCCACUAUGCUUGGCCCUAAACCUCAGUAGUUNAAACAACAAAACUACUCGCCAGAAUACUACGAGCAACGGCUUAAAACUCAAAGGACUUGACGGUGCUUUACAUCCCCCUAGAGGAGCCUGUUCCAUAAUCGAUAAACCCCGAUCCACCCCACCCUCUCUUGCUCAGCCUAUAUACCGCCAUCUUCAGCAAACCCUGAUAAAGGUUACAAAGUGAGCGCAAACGNCCUNNCCCCGCAAAAACGUUAGGUCAAGGUGUAGCCCAUGAGACGGUAAAAAAUGGGCUACAUUUUCUGUAUCAGAAAACCCCACGAAAACUCUUAUGAAAUUUGAGAGUCCAAGGAGGAUUUAGCAGUAAAUUAAGAAUAGAGUGCUUAAUUGAACGAGGCCAUAAAGCGCGCACACACCGCCCGUCACUCCCCUCAAAUAUAUUCAAGGAACAUCUUAACUAAACACCCCAGUGUCUAUAUAGAGGGGAUAAGUCGUAACAUGGUAAGUGUACUGGAAGGUGCACUUGGAUAA
rnacentral:ncRNA from 1 species